GACGGAGGAUGCAAGCGUUAUCCGGAAUGAUUGGGCGUAAAGCGUCCGCAGGUGGCAGUUCAAGUCUGCUGUCAAAGACCGGGGCUUAACUUCGGAAAGGCAGUGGAAACUGAACAGCUAGAGUAUGGUAGGGGCAGAGGGAAUUCCUGGUGUAGCGGUGAAAUGCGUAGAGAUCGGAAAGAACACCAACGGCGAAAGCACUCUGCUGGGCCGACACUGACACUGAGAGACGAAAGCGAGGGGAGCGAAUGGG
rnacentral:rRNA from 1 species